rnacentral:rRNA from 1 species
UAGGGAAUCUUCGGCAAUGGACGAAAGUCUGACCGAGCAACGCCGCGUGAGUGAAGAAGGUUUUCGGAUCGUAAAACUCUGUUGUUAGAGAAGAACAAGGACGUUAGUAACUGAACGUCCCCUGACGGUAUCUAACCAGAAAGCCACGGCUAACUACGUGCCAGCAGCCGCGGUAAUACGUAGGUGGCAAGCGUUGUCCGGAUUUAUUGGGCGUAAAGCGAGCGCAGGCGGUUUCGUAAGUCUGAUGUGAAAGCCCCCGGCUCAACCGGGGAGGGUCAUUGGAAACUGGGAGACUUGAGUGCAGAAGAGGAGAGUGGAAUUCCAUGUGUAGCGGUGAAAUGCGUAGAUAUAUGGAGGAACACCAGUGGCGAAGGCGGCUCUCUGGUCAGUAACUGACGCUGAGGCUCGAAAGCGUGGGGAGCAAACAGG